rnacentral:rRNA from 1 species
AGGAUGAACGCUGGCGGCGUGCUUAACACAUGCAAGUCGAACGGUGAAGCCAAGCUUGCUUGGUGGAUCAGUGGCGAACGGGUGAGUAACACGUGAGCAACCUGCCCUGGACUCUGGGAUAAGCGCUGGAAACGGCGUCUAAUACUGGAUAUGAGCCUUUAUCGCAUGGUGGGGGUUGGAAAGAUUUUUUGGUCUGGGAUGGGCUCGCGGCCUAUCAGCUUGUUGGUGAGGUAAUGGCUCACCAAGGCGUCGACGGGUAGCCGGCCUGAGAGGGUGACCGGCCACACUGGGACUGAGACACGGCCCAGACUCCUACGGGAGGCAGCAGUGGGGAAUAUUGCACAAUGGGCGGAAGCCUGAUGCAGCAACGCCGCGUGAGGGAUGACGGCCUUCGGGUUGUAAACCUCUUUUAGCAAGGAAGAAGCGGAAGUGACGGUACUUGCAGAAAAAGCGCCGGCUAACUACGUGCCAGCAGCCGCGGUAAUACGUAGGGCGCAAGCGUUAUCCGGAAUUAUUGGGCGUAAAGAGCUCGUAGGCGGUUUGUCGCGUCUGCUGUGAAAUCCCGAGGCUCAACCUCGGGCCUGCAGUGGGUACGGGCAGACUAGAGUGCGGUAGGGGAGAUUGGAAUUCCUGGUGUAGCGGUGGAAUGCGCAGAUAUCAGGAGGAACACCGAUGGCGAAGGCAGAUCUCUGGGCCGUAACUGACGCUGAGGAGCGAAAGGGUGGGGAGCAAACAGGCUUAGAUACCCUGGUAGUCCACCCCGUAAACGUUGGGAACU